rnacentral:rRNA from 1 species
UGAGAUAAGUCGUAACAUAGUAGUCGUACUGGAAAGUGUGACUAGAAAGUCAA